rnacentral:rRNA from 1 species
UGCNCGUGUAGGAAGACUGCCCUAUGGGUUGUAAACUACUUUUAUAUGGGAAGAAUAAGGUAUAUGUAUAUACUGAUGACGGUACCAUAAGAAUAAGCACCGGCUAACUCCGUGCCAGCAGCCGCGGUAAUACGGAGGGUGCAAGCGUUAUCCGGAAUCAUUGGGUUUAAAGGGUCCGUAGGCGGGCAUAUAAGUCAGUGGUGAAAGUCUGUGGCUCAACCAUAGAAUUGCCAUUGAAACUGUAUGUCUUGAAUUAUUGUGAAGUGGUUAGAAUAUGUAGUGUAGCGGUGAAAUGCUUAGAGAUUACAUAGAAUACCGAUUGCGAAGGCAGAUCACUAACAAUAUAUUGACGCUGAUGGACGAAAGCGUAGGUAGCGAACAGGAUUAGAUACCCUGNNAG